UACGUAGGUGACAAGCGUUGUCCGGAUUUACUGGGCGUAAAGAGCGCGCAGGCGGUCGUUCAAGUCGAGUGUGAAAGCCCCCGGCUCAACUGGGGAGGGUCACUCGAUACUGAUCGACUCGAAGGCAGGAGAGGGAAGUGGAAUUCCCGGUGUAGUGGUGAAAUGCGUAGAUAUCAGGAGGAACACCGAUGGCGAAGGCAGGUCACUGGGCCGCAACUGACGCUGAGGAGCGAAAGCAUGGGGAGCGAACAGG
rnacentral:rRNA from 1 species